UUUUGGUUCAGCUUGCAGAUAAGAUGUGGUGGGAACUGAGAUUUCCACACUCAGACACGCUUCUGAGAUAUCACUGGGUUACCAAAGCUGCUUGAUUUACGAGGAAGUUGGAGUAAAGCACGGGAUACCUGGACUAAUUACCUGAAGAAGGCAGCCCGAGGUGCUGAUCAGCAUCCAGCACCAGCUGGCAGGUAAAUUUCCAAGGCUUCUGUCCAGAAACAGGAAUGUGGAAAGCAUGGAGAAUAAACAACCUGUAAGCAUCAAAAUCUGCAAACAGACCUUUAUUCUCACUGCUGCAUCCAUUUCUGCCUUGAGGCAGUGAAGAGAGCUCCUCUUUGCUCUGCAUCCCUGCACAGUUCCACUGAAACUGAAUCAUCUCCAAUGUAUCUGCUAAACCCUGGCUAAAGACAAAAAGGUCUGAACACAGCAAG
rnacentral:lncRNA from 1 species